rnacentral:rRNA from 1 species
CCUACGGGUGGCAGCAGUGAGGAAUAUUGGUCAAUGGGCGCGAGCCUGAACCAGCCAAGUCGCGUGAGGGAAGACGGUCCUAUGGAUUGUAAACCUCUUUUGUCGGGGAGCAAAAGACGCCACGCGUGGCGUUCCGAGAGUACCCGAAGAAAAAGCAUCGGCUAACUCCGUGCCAGCAGCCGCGGUAAUACGUAGGGUGCGAGCGUUAAUCGGAAUUACUGGGCGUAAAGGGUGCGCAGGCGGUUGAGUAAGACAGAUGUGAAAUCCCCGAGCUUAACUCGGGAAUGGCAUAUGUGACUGCUCGACUAGAGUGUGUCAGAGGGAGGUGGAAUUCCACGUGUAGCAGUGAAAUGCGUAGAUAUGUGGAAGAACACCGAUGGCGAAGGCAGCCUCCUGGGACAUAACUGACGCUCAGGCACGAAAGCGUGGGGAGCAAACAGGAUUAGAUACCCUAGUAGUC